AGAGUUUGAUCCUGGCUCAGGAUGAACGCUGGCGGAAUGCUUAACACAUGCAAGUCUACUGGAGGAACACUUCGGAGUUCAGUACGGUGGCGGACGGGUGAGUAACGCGUGAAGAACUUGCCUCACAGACUGGGACAACAGUUGGAAACGACUGCUAAAACCGGAUAUUAUGCAUUUAAGGCAUCUUUAAUGUAUGAAACACUAUAUGUGCUGUGAGAGAGCUUCGCGUCCUAUUAGCUAGUUGGUGAGGUAACGGCUCACCAAGGCGACGAUAGGUAGCCGGCCUGAGAGGGUGAUCGGCCACAAGGGAACUGAGACACGGUCCUUACUCCUACGGGAGGCAGCAGUGGGGAAUAUUGGACAAUGGAGGAAACUCUGAUCCAGCAAUUCCGCGUGGAUGAAGAAGGCUUUCGGGUUGUAAAAUCCUUUCAGCAGGGAAGAAGAAAGUGACGGUACCUGCAGAAGAAGCACCGGCUAAUUACGUGCCAGCAGCCGCGGUAAGACGUAAGGUGCAAGCGUUAUCCGGAUUUACUGGGCUUAAAGGGCAUCUAGGCGGCUAAAUAAGUCAGAGGUGAAAAGUCUGGGCUCAACCGAGGCCUUGCCUUUGAAACUGUUUAGCUAGAGUACGGGAGAGGAGGGCGGAACUACAAGUGUAGCGGUGAAAUGCGUAGAUAUUUGUAGGAAUGCCGAUGACGAAGGUAGCUCUCUGGACCGCUACUGACGCUGAAGUGCGAAAGCUAGGGGAGCGAACAGGAUUAGAUACCCUGGUAGUCCUAGCUGUAAACGAUGGAUACUGGGUGUGGGGUUAAGGAACCCUGUGCCGAAGCAAACGCGAUAAGUAUCCCGCCUGGGGAGUACGACCGCAAGGUUGAAACUCAAAGGAAUUGACGGGGACCCGCACAAGCGGUGGAGCAUGUGGUUUAAUCCGACGCAACGCGAGGAACCUUACCAGGUCUUGACAUCCUAGGAAUCUUUUAGAGAUAAGAGAGUGCCCCUUUGGGGAACCUAGAGACAGGUGGUGCAUGGCUGUCGUCAGCUCGUGCCGUGAGGUGUUGGGUUAAGUCCCGCAACGAGCGCAACCCCUAUCAUUAGUUGCCAUCAUUAAGUUGGGGACUCUAGUGAGACUGCCUGCGACGAGCAGGAGGAAGGUGGGGAUGACGUCAAGUCAUCAUGCCCCUUAUGACCUGGGCUACACACGUGCUACAAUGGGAUGUACAGAGGGCAGCGAAAGGGUGACCUGGAGCGAAGCUCAGAAAGCAUCUCUUAGUUCGGAUCGCAGUCUGCAACUCGACUGCGUGAAGUUGGAAUCGCUAGUAAUCGCAAAUCAGCAAUGUUGCGGUGAAUACGUUCUCGGGUCUUGUACACACCGCCCGUCACACCACGAGAGUUUGUUGCACCUGAAGUAGCUGGCCUAACCCUUCGGGGAGGGAAGUUCCUAAGGUGUGAUAGAUGAUUGGGGUGAAGUCGUAACAAGGUA
rnacentral:rRNA from 1 species